rnacentral:ncRNA from 1 species
UCGGUCCCGGUUCACGCACGCGCACUCCGUACGUGCGACCCGGUGCC